rnacentral:rRNA from 1 species
UAGAGUUUGAUCAUGGCUCAGAUUGAACGCUGGCGGCAGGCCUAACACAUGCAAGUCGAGCGGUAACAGAAAGAAAGCUUGCUUUCUUUGCUGACGAGCGGCGGACGGGUGAGUAAUGCCUGGGAAUAUACCCUGAUGUGGGGGAUAACUAUUGGAAACGAUAGCUAAUACCGCAUAAUCUCUUCGGAGCAAAGAGGGGGACCUUCGGGCCUCUCGCGUCAGGAUUAGCCCAGGUGGGAUUAGCUAGUUGGUGGGGUAAUGGCUCACCAAGGCAACGAUCCCUAGCUGGUCUGAGAGGAUGAUCAGCCACACUGGAACUGAGACACGGUCCAGACUCCUACGGGAGGCAGCAGUGGGGAAUAUUGCACAAUGGGGGAAACCCUGAUGCAGCCAUGCCGCGUGUAUGAAGAAGGCCUUCGGGUUGUAAAGUACUUUCAGUUGUGAGGAAGGCGUUAAAGUUAAUAGCUUUAGCGUUUGACGUUAGCAACAGAAGAAGCACCGGCUAACUCCGUGCCAGCAGCCGCGGUAAUACGGAGGGUGCGAGCGUUAAUCGGAAUUACUGGGCGUAAAGCGCAUGCAGGCGGUCUGUUAAGCAAGAUGUGAAAGCCCGGGGCUCAACCUCGGAACAGCAUUUUGAACUGGCAGACUAGAGUCCUGUAGAGGGGGGUAGAAUUUCA